rnacentral:rRNA from 1 species
GAUGAACGCUGGCGGCGUGCCUAAUGCAUGCAAGUCGAGCGAAUGGAUUAAGAGCUUGCUCUUAUGAAGUUAGCGGCGGACGGGUGAGUAACACGUGGGUAACCUGCCCAUAAGACUGGGAUAACUCCGGGAAACCGGGGCUAAUACCGGAUAACAUUUUGAACCGCAUGGUUCGAAAUUGAAAGGCGGCUUCGGCUGUCACUUAUGGAUGGACCCGCGUCGCAUUAGCUAGUUGGCGAGGUAACGGCUCACCAAGGCAACGAUGCGUAGCCGACCUGAGAGGGUGAGCGGCCACACUGGGACUGAGACACGGCCCAGACUCCUACGGGAGGCAGCAGUAGGGAAUCUUCCGCAAUGGACGAAAGUCUGACGGAGCAACGCCGCGUGAGUGAUGAAGGCUUUCGGGUCGUAAAACUCUGUUGUUAGGGAAGAACAAGUACAAGAGUAACUGCUUGUACCUUGACGGUACCUAACCAGAAAGCCACGGCUAACUACGUGCCAGCCGCCGCCGUAA